UAGGGAAUAUUAGAAAUGGACGAAAGUCUGAUCUAGCAACACCGCGUGUGCGAAGAAGGCCUUCGGGUUGUAAAGCACUUUUUGGAAGGAAUAGGAAGGAAUGUACUUCCAGAAUAAUUCUCGCCUAACUACGUUCCAGCAGCCGCGGUAACACGUAGGAGGCAAACGUUAUCCGGAUUUACUGGGCGUAAAGCUCUUGUAGGUGGUACUGUAAGUAGGGCGUGAAAGCUCCUGGCUCAACUGGGAGAGGCCGUUCUAAACUACAGAACUAGAGGAUGGUAGAGGGAGGUGGAAUGGAAGGUGUAGCGGUGGAAUGAGAAGAUAUCUGGAGGAACACCGGUGGGGAAGGCGGCCUCCUGGACCAUUCCUGACACUCAGACGCGAAAGCUAGGGUAGCAAACA
rnacentral:rRNA from 1 species